GGCGAACGGGCGAGUAACGAGUUGGUGACCUGCCCCGAAGUGUGGGAUAACAGUCCGAAAGGAUUGCUAAUACCGCAUGUGAUCAUGGGAUCUAGAAACCCAUGAUUAAAGCAGAAAUGCGCUUCGGGAGGGACCUGCUUCCCAUCAGCUAGUUGGUGAGGUAAUGGCCCACCAAGGCUACGACGGGUAAGGGACCUGAGAGGGUGGUCCCUCGCAAUGGCACUGAAACACGGGCCAUACACCUACGGGUGGCAGCAGUAGGGAAUAUUGGGCAAUGGGCGAAAGCCUGACCCAGCAACGCCGCGUGCACGAUGAAGGCCUUCGGGUCGUAAAGUGCUUUUCUGAGGAAUGAGAAAGGACAGUACCUCAGGAAUAAGCCUCGGCUAACUACGUGCCAGCAGCCGCGGUAAAACGUAGGAGGCGAGCGUUAUCCGGAUUUACUGGGCGUAAAGCGUGUGUAGGCGGUACGGUAAGUUGGAUGUGAAAGCUCCUGGCUUAACUAGGAGAGGUCGUUCAAUACUGCCGAACUUGAGGGUAUCAGAGGAGAGUGGAAUUCCCGGUGUAGUGGUGAAAUGCGUAGAUAUCGGGAGGAACACCAGUGGCGAAAGCGGCUCUCUGGGAUACAUCUGACGCUCAGACACGAAAGCUAGGGUAGCGAACGGGAUUAGAGACCCCGGUAGUCCUAGCAGUAAACGAUGUAGACUUGGUGUCGGAGGUGUCAAAACCUUCGGUAUCGUAGCUAACGCGAUAAGUCUACCGCCUGGGGACUACGGCCGCAAGGUUAAAACUCAAAGGAAUUGACGGGGGCCCGCACAAGCAGCGGAGCGUGUGGGUUAAUUCGAUGCUACACGAAGAACCUUACCCAGGUUUGACAUGUUGGUGGUAGGGAUCCGAAAGGUGACCGACCCGCAAGGAGCCUUCACAGGUGCUGCAUGGCAGUCGUCAGCUCGUGUCGUGAGAUGUUCGGUUAAGUCCGCUAACGAGCGCACCCUCGCCGUAUGUUGCAAGUGUCAUGGCGGGACGCGGUAUCAGCUGAGGAA
rnacentral:rRNA from 1 species